CUCCAUCCUUUCCUGUCUAGACGACUGUGAGGGCCUUUAGUCACCUCCUAGAGAAGCAAGCUUUCCAAACCUGGCUUUCCACCCCCACACCCCACAGCUGGUCAGGGGACAGGGUCAUGUUCAUACAGUGCUAAGGGGACACGCUGACACGUGUGACCUCAAGAACUCCAGUGCCCACAGCCUAAGUCUGGGUGGGACGUGUGAAAUCAGCAAGCAGUGGGGGGGCUGGAUCCACAUUUCUGUGCACACCAGCCAGGCACAUCAGAAGGCUCAUGGGCAGAGGAUGCUGGGACAGAUGCCACAGGAGGUUCCUUUUGGUCUGGCUCACCCAGAACAGAGGGUCCUCUCCUCCCUUCCCUGCAGCACAGCAGCCUGGCUGGCACCGAGGGCAGCCGGCGUGGGCUGACCUCAGAGUAGCAAGGCAUGUUUGCAGCUCUGUCGCUCACAUCCACAGUGGCCAUGACAACAGACGCGGCACCAUCCAUUAAAGCUCUGUGUCCUUACA